GCCGGGGUGGCUCAGUCAGUUGAGCGUCUGACUUUGGCUCAGGGCAAGAUCUCACGGUUCAUGGGUUUGUGGGUUCGAGCCCUGCGCCCGGCU
rnacentral:tRNA from 1 species